rnacentral:rRNA from 1 species
UACGUAGGGGGCAAGCGUUGUUCGGAAUUACUGGGCGUAAAGGGCGCAGUAGGCGGCUAGGUAAGUCUGCUCUGAAAGCCCGGGGCUCAACCCCGGGAGGCGGGUGGAUACUGUCUAGCUCGAGUCCGGAAGAGGCGAGUGGAACUCCGUGGUGUAGCGGUGGAAUGCGCAGAUAAUCAGGAAGAACACCAACGGCGAAGGCAGCUCGCUGGGACGGUACUGACGCUGAGACGCGAAGCGUGGGGAGCGAACAGG